GUCUUUUUGAUAAUAAUAAAAAGUCUAAUCUGCUCCAUGAUAAAUUAAAUAGCUGCAGUAUCUUGACUGUACAAAGGUAGCAUAAUAAAUAGUCUUUUAAUUGAAGACUUGAAUGAAAGAUUGGACGAGAAAAUAGCUGUCUCGAUUUUAAUAUUUUUGAAUUUAACUUUUUAGUUAAAAGGCUAAAAUUUUUUUAAAAGACAAGAAGACCCUAUAGAGUUUUAUAGUUUAUAAUUUUUGGUUUUUUUAGUAUUAAUAAAAUUUAAAUUUUUAUAAAUUAUUUGGUUGGGGUGAUCGGAAAAUUUAAAAAACUUUUUAUAUUUAAAAUUACUUAUUUGUGAAUUAAUUAUCUAUAAAUUAAAUUUAAAAUAAAUUACCUUAGGGAUAACAGCGUUAUAUAUUUUUAAAGUUCUUAUUUAAAAAUAUGUUUGCGACCUCGAUGUUGGAUUAAAAUAAAUUUUUAGUGCAGUAGCUAAAUAAUUGAGUCUGUUCGACUUUUGAAAUUUUACA
rnacentral:rRNA from 1 species